GAUGAACGCUGGCGGCGUGCCUAAUACAUGCAAGUCGAGCGAACAGACGAGGAGCUUGCUCCUCUGACGUUAGCGGCGGACGGGUGAGUAACACGUGGAUAACCUACCUAUAAGACUGGGAUAACUUCGGGAAACCGGAGCUAAUACCGGAUAAUAUAUUGAACCGCAUGGUUCAAUAGUGAAAGACGGUUUUGCUGUCACUUAUAGAUGGAUCCGCGCCGCAUUAGCUAGUUGGUAAGGUAACGGCUUACCAAGGCAACGAUGCGUAGCCGACCUGAGAGGGAGAUCGGCCACACUGGAACAGAGACACGGUCCAGACUCCUACGGGAGGCAGCAGUAGAGAAUCUUCCGCAAUGGGCGAAAGCCUGACAGAGCAACGCCGCGUGAGUGAUGAAGGUCUUCGGAUCGUAGAACUCUGUUAUUAGGGAAGAACAAAUGUGUAAGUAACUAUGCACGUAUUGACGGUACCUAAUCAAAAAGCCACGGCUAACUACGUG
rnacentral:rRNA from 1 species